GUGGUUAACAGAAUCGCUGGGGAUCCGUCGAACUCUAUGGUUUAAUCGUCAGUCCGACUUGGUACAAUCUAAAAAUAUACACAUACCGAUACAGCAUCGUUUGUAAAACGGCUUCCGCUGUGAAACUUUAUGUGAUGGAUGGUAUUUCAUAUUUUCUCAAAUCUACAGUACUGUAUAGAACCAUUUACAAUUAACACUGUAAUAACAUGUGAACAAUUCCAAGUUUUGCGUUCAACGCUUUCCCACUUUAGAGACCUUAAGAUUGGGCUUUACGGCAGACCGCUAACCACAAACGGCAAAGUUCAAAUCGUAUUUGAGGUCAACUGUUAGCUGUUCGAAGUUAGGACAAUUUGUGCAUAAAAUGGACCAUUUGCAUUAUAGACUAAAUUUUGAUCUAGACAAAAAUUUCAUCACAGCUUGAAAGAGCAUCACAAAAUUAGUAAUAUUCCAAAGUUUCGUUGCGACAUGUUGUAAAAUGCGGAUAAUAUAGCCUUGCGAAAUUUGCAAUUUUCAGUCAUUUUGUAUUACAAACGGGAAAUUGAUGCCCCAACACCCGAAUCGGAUGUCAAUUUCCCGUGCGUAAUACAAAAUGACUGAAAAACGGCAAACUUCGCAAGGCAAUAUUAUCCGCAUUUUACAACAUUUCGCAUCGAAAUUUUGGAAUAUUACUAAUUUUGUGAUGCUCUUUCAAGCUGUGAUGAAAUUUUUGUCUAGAUCGAAAUUUUUGUUAUAAGGGGAAAGGUCCAUUAGCUACUUAGCUGUCGAAAACUUGUAGAACAUAGAACUUACCAUGCGAUUCGAAGUUUGUGGAGAGCAGUCUGCUGUUAUAUAAUGUCAGUUUGUCUGCUGUUAGCGUUCAAUUGUAUACAAUUUCUUUACAAUUUACCAAUGUACGUAGAACAACUGUCACGUGGUAAAAACGCAUUCCUGCCCUUACCGAAGUUCGCAACCCUAUUCCGUGGUUCAUAGGGAAUUCGUAUUAACAUCGCGUCGGCAACGUCGCAAAUUCGUGUCUUCUCCUACUGUAUGUCUUCAGUGUACACGACAUACCAUGGAAGCACAGCAACACACAUACAAUACUAUGCUCGACGAUUUUCGUAGAAUUUCAAAAAUUUACGUGGCUCACUUUGCAUCAAAUACACGUUUGCGGGCCCGUUAAAGAGUUAGAACGAUGGAUGAGUUGCCGGUUCGCAGGCCCCCUUCCGAUCUUUUGUGCGGAUUAUUGUCCCCUGGCGAUCCCAUAAUGCAUUGCAUUUGCACAUUACACAAUGUGUUAUGGGAUCGCCAGGGGACAAUUAGCCGCAUAAAACAAAUGAAUGUCUUCCUCAUGUGUUGUCCCUGAAGAUUUGAGCGUAAUUGCAUGGCCAGUAGACCUUAUGCAUAAUAACGUCAUAAGGCUUGAUGCCCGCGAGGAAUGCUGGUCUUAGUAGUUAUCGCCCAGGAAUGUUUCGAUUGUGGCCAUUUUGAAUUGUUUAAUUUUCCCGAGCGAUGACUAUACUAAGACCAGCAUUCCUCGCGGGCAUCAAGCCUUGUGAUGUCAAAGGUCUAUUGCCUGAUAGAUUUCUACAGUUAUUAGGGAUGUGCGCUCCAAAGAUAUGAUGGUGCGCUCCAAAGAUAUACAACUUCCGAUUGGCGCUCAUUGACUACCACAGCUCCAAAAGGAUAUGACUUUGUUUCGCGGCAAAUCUUGUCUUUUCUGUGCUAAUUCUUUGUCAGACAUUAUAUUUACACUGAGACUGUUUGACGCCAUUUGGAAAAAUGCAUUUAAAUUUCCAACACAGUUUCUGAGAUGUAAUUCAAG
rnacentral:lncRNA from 1 species